rnacentral:rRNA from 1 species
CCGAGUGGCGGACGGGUGAGUAACGCGUGGGUAACCUGCCUCAUACAGGGGGAUAACGGUUAGAAAUGACUGCUAAUACCGCAUAAGCGCACGGUACCGCAUGGUACGGUGUGAAAAACUCCGGUGGUAUGAGAUGGACCCGCGUCUGAUUAGCUAGUUGGUGGGGUAACGGCCCACCAAGGCGACGAUCAGUAGCCGACCUGAGAGGGUGACCGGCCACAUUGGGACUGAGACGCGGCCCAG